GGCAGGUCUGUGGGCCUGGACGAGGGCCUGGGUGACACAGACCUCUUUCUCCACCUCCAUCCACAGUAGCUAAGACAAAGGCUUCAGGCUGGCUUAGCUGCUUCUAGAAGAAAGAUUGUUAAAGAGAUUGAAUGUACACCUCACAAAGGGUCUGAUUUACUGCUCCUGAAAAAAAGGGCCAAACCUUUUUCAUCUUGAUAAUAUCCAGACUCCCAGAGGGGCAUCCAUUCGUUUCAAUGAAGACAAUAAUAUCUCUGCUGUGCCACAGUCUGCAGGAGGCAAGGCCACUCAGGAAGGCAGCAGCAGGAAAACACUUCCUGCAAAGACAAAGGACACAUUAAAUUGAUCCCUAACAAACACAUUUCAACUGCAGUGGGCUGUCAGAAAGAAAGGCAAUGUGCUGGCUUUUCUCUCAGCACGUAAAGGAAGUCCUUAAAGUGGAGCACUGGGAUUUUACCAACCAAAGCAUCAGCAGCAAAAAAGACAAGGUAAUCUUGACCUCCUGCAGGAUCCCACAGAUUUUCGAAGUGUCCAUGCACAUGAGUGGGGUCAGCUGUGGCCAAGAGGUUCCAUCGAUAAACCACCCAUGGAUUAGACGGUUGCUAGUCUGAGGUUCACUGUAGGCGCUUC
rnacentral:lncRNA from 1 species